rnacentral:rRNA from 1 species
GAUGAACGCUGGCGGCGUGCUUAACACAUGCAAGUCGAACGAAACACCUUAUUUGAUUUUCUUCGGAACUGAAGAUUUGGUGAUUGAGUGGCGGACGGGUGAGUAACGCGUGGGUAACCUGCCCUGUACAGGGGGAUAACAGUCAGAAAUGACUGCUAAUACCGCAUAAGACCACAGCACCGCAUGGUGCAGGGGUAAAAACUCCGGUGGUACAGGAUGGACCCGCAUCUGAUUAGCUGGUUGGUGAAGUAACGGCUCACCAAGGCGACGAUCAGUAGCCGGGUUGAGAGAGUGAACGGCCACAUUGGGACUGAGACACGGCCCAAACUCCUACGGGAGGCAGCAGUGGGGAAUAUUGCACAAUGGGGGAAACCCUGAUGCAGCGACGCCGCGUGAGUGAAGAAGUAUUUCGGUAUGUAAAGCUCUAUCAGCAGGGAAGAAAAUGACGGUGCCUGACUAAGAAGCCCCGGCUAACUACGUG